AUUGAACGCUGGCGGCAUGCCUUACGCAUGCAAGUCGAACGGUAACAGGUCUUCGGAUGCUGACGAGUGGCGAACGGGUGAGUAAUACAUCGGAACGUGCCUAGUAGUGGGGGAUAACUACUCGAAAGAGUGGCUAAUACCGCAUGAGAUCUACGGAUGAAAGCAGGGGAUCGCAAGACCUUGCGCUACUAGAGCGGCCGAUGGCAGAUUAGGUAGUUGGUGGGAUAAAAGCUUACCAAGCCGACGAUCUGUAGCUGGUCUGAGAGGACGAUCAGCCACACUGGGACUGAGACACGGCCCAGACUCCUACGGGAGGCAGCAGUGGGGAAUUUUGGACAAUGGGCGUAAGCCUGAUCCAGCAAUGCCGCGUGCAGGAUGAAGGCCUUCGGGUUGUAAACUGCUUUUGUACGGAACGAAAAGCCCUGGGUUAAUACCCUGGGGUCAUGACGGUACCGUAAGAAUAAGCACCGGCUAACUACGUGCCAGCCGCCGCUGUAA
rnacentral:rRNA from 1 species